CUUCAUCUUCAGAAUUCUGUUCCAUCUGUGAAGUCCUAACUACAAGCAAGGCCUCUCCAACAAAGCUUCUGCUCCAGUUACCAGACUCAUUCCAAAAAUAGAAGCACUGUUAUGAAAUGGCCAGACCAUUGGCAAAGCACAGAAAGGACUCCAGCCUCUGUGUCUCGGGGACAGCAACCCUCUUCGACAGCCUUGUUUUGAUGUACAAACACCAGACUGGAAAGUCUCCAUGAAGCAGAGCUGUUUCUACGAUAGUAAAAACUUGGAGGACUUCCCAAAGGCUUCCAUCUGGUGGCAAAGCAGGCUCCUUCUUCAUCUUCUUUGGCUGAGAUCUCAAACCAGUGUCUUUUGGGAAAAUGUCUUGAAAAUAAGCAAUCCACCAAAAUCAUUACCUCUCAGAAUAAGACAAGCCCCUGGACUGGAAUGAUGAAGUGCAGGUGACAAUAAAGAACUGGGUGACAUUCUCUAGACUUUAUUUCAUUGGACUGAAUAGGAAACAAUGGCGGUAAAGGGGAACAUAUUUACCUCACUUCUAGGUUCUGAGGCUGCUACAAGAAGAGUAUGUGAAAGCAUUUUUUUAAUGCAUAAAAUGGUACAUAAAUGCAGCAUCAUUAGUAUGUUAAAGGCUCUGGGGAUCAGAGAGCAGAGGCACAGUAUUCUCAAAGCUUUUCUCACUUCCAGGAAUA